rnacentral:rRNA from 1 species
CUUUAUGGCCAUACCACCCUGAACGUGCCUGAUCUAUCUAAUCUCAGAAGCUAAGCAGGGACCAUCCCGGUUAGUACUUGGAUGGGGAAGUCUGACAGGCUUUUAAAA